GACGAACGCUGGCGGCGUGCUUAACACAUGCAAGUCGAACGGAAAGGCCCUGCUUUUGUGGGGUGCUCGAGUGGCGAACGGGUGAGUAACACGUGAGUAACCUGCCCUUGACUUUGGGAUAACUUCAGGAAACUGGGGCUAAUACCGGAUAGGAGCUCCUGCUGCAUGGUGGGGGUUGGAAAGUUUCGGCGGUAGGGGAUGGACUCGCGGCCUAUCAGCUUGUUGGUGGGGUAGUGGCUUACCAAGGCUUUGACGGGUAGCCGGCCUGAGAGGGUGACCGGCCACAUUGGGACUGAGAUACGGCCCAGACUCCUACGGGAGGCAGCAGUGGGGAAUAUUGCACAAUGGGCGGAAGCCUGAUGCAGCAACGCCGCGUGCGGGAUGACGGCCUUCGGGUUGUAAACCGCUUUCGCCUGUGACGAAGCGUGAGUGACGGUAAUGGGUAAAGAAGCACCGGCUAACUACGUG
rnacentral:rRNA from 1 species